UACGAAGGGGGCUAGCGUUGUUCGGAAUCACUGGGCGUAAAGGGCGCGUAGGCGGCUUGAUAAGUCGGGGGUGAAAGCCUGUGGCUCAACCACAGAAUUGCCUUCGAUACUGUCGAGCUUGAGACCGGAAGAGGUAAGUGGAACUGCGAGUGUAGAGGUGAAAUUCGUAGAUAUUCGCAAGAACACCAGUGGCGAAGGCGGCUUACUGGUCCGGUACUGACGCUGAGGUGCGAAAGCGUGGGGAGCAAACAGG
rnacentral:rRNA from 1 species